CAGGUAGAGCAACAUGUGCUGCUGCAAGAAAAAACAGGAAGAAGAAAGAAGAUGCACUGUCGUCUACAUCCAUUUACUACAGCUUUGUCCCGAGUGACACUCAACCACAAGAUGCACGGUCCAAUAGAGCUAUUUACAGCUUAGCCCAGGGUGAAACUCAGCCACAAAAUGAAGGUGAACUGUCUUCUAGAAGCUUUUACUACAGUUUAGCCCAGGGUGACACUCAGCCACAAGAAUCAGAACCCACCACAAAAAUCCUCUCACCAGGUAUAAACCAGCCAAUAGCAGAGGAUCCCUUUUAUUCUCCAAUCCAGACGGUUGCAGAGUGAUCUGAUUGAAGACAUAAUCACAUCUCAGUGAGAGAUUUUGUAAUUGAAGAUUUUUCAUUUGGUUUUGGUUUCUACAUUUAUAAAUCGUGAUAACUUUUGUCUAGUUAGUUAGACACAGCUGGCUGCCAGACCCAC
ensembl:lncRNA